AAAUGUUACUGCUGUUUGAACAAUCCUUCUUGGCCCAAUAUUUUCUCAUUGUUCAUAUAUUGAUAGAUAAAGAAGGAAUACUGGAAUACUCUCUGUUGAUGUCCUAAGUUUGCUCUCACUUUCUUGCUUGCAAAUACUUUCUCCCUCCAUCUUACAUGUCAUCUUUAUCUUGCUUUCUAGUGCUUCUUUCAUUUAAUUUUUGCUUUGACAAUCCUAAUGUGUUUAACUUGCUCUAUUAUAAUAUCAUAUGGUCAGUAAUUUUCUUCUACUUAAAAUUAGAAAAAUGUUGCUAAGGAUUGUUGGAACAGUUUACAUCUGAAUUUGAUGAAUGUCUUCUUCUAGGUUUGGGAUUACACUGGUUUUGGAUAUACAAGGUACAAUGCCAGAGACAUUAACAAAGAAAUACUAGGGUAAGCACAAUUCUGCAGCUGUCUCCUUCCGUGAUGAAACCUGUGUCAUUGCUAAGAGGAUAUAAAUCAGACAGGAGACCUGCAAACUUGACAAUGAUGGCAAUUCUGGAUGGCUUUCAGAAGGCAUAUUCCGUUGAUUUCAGACCACUCAAUGUACUGCGUGCUGCUGCAUUCCAAGGGGCUCAUUAUAUUUCACCAUUGAAAAGGCAAAUAAUCUCGUAUGCAUCUGCUAGUCAUUGCUGGAGAUGGGUACUAAGAUUUGGAUUUUGUAAAACUGAACCAAUUAAUUGGAAGAAAAGCUGGUGGGAUAUCAGUAUAUCCUUUAACACCAUCAGUUCGAGGGAAGGAGGAGCCCUGCAGCCAUAUUAUGUUCGAGGCAAAGCUAUGUCUGAACGUGUUGAAGAUUUAUUUACCUGGUCAACCAUGUUCUUCAAGAUGUUCAAUUGACUGACCAGAAGUGUUUUAAGCAGUUUGUUUCUCAAAGUGAGGCAAGAAUGGAGAAUCGAUUAAGAGGCAGGGACAUAGCAUUGCAGCUGCAAGGAUGGAUGUAAAGCUCAAUGUUGCUGGCCGGAUCUCUGAACAAAUGGGUGGUGUCAGGUUGAUUUGUUUGGAGUCUUAUUUUCACCUUUGAUAUUUGGAAAGCAUGUUGAUGUGUAUAAUAUUAUGAGAUGCAUCACCAUUUGUUAUAUGACCAAGCCUUUGCUGGCCAUUUGCUGAAUUUUAGAAACUCGACUAUGAACCAUGAUGGGUGUUUUGUUAAUCGUGGGAAGUUAGAGUGCACUCUUUCACUUGAUUAUAGAAACCUGGUGGAGAUGAAUCCAUUAUGUUUCUUGGCAUCUGUUUAUGCAUGGAUGUAGUGUCCAAUCCAUUUUAAGACCAACCUCAAGUUCUUUCAUGUGCGAAACUUUGAAAUGGAGAUAGGAAAAAAAACAAUUAGUACAUCAAAUUAAUUUUCUUGUGCUGUAAUUACAAUGAAAUAAAAGUAUAUAUUGCUUUACUACUUCUAUUUUGUGGGCUUUCUCUUGUGAGAUCUUGCCAAUUGCAAGCACAAGGGAGAGGGUGGAAGGCUGAACAGUAUUACCUACAACAAUUUUGCCUUAAAGAGUCCAUUAGAGAUUCUAGGUAUGCGGGUGUUGGACUGUACCAUGCAAUGCAAUGGUCAGUCAAAGUAAAUUACUGCUGUCUUGCAUUGUGAGUCCUAAAAUGCUGUUUUCUUGGCCAUAGUUUU